rnacentral:rRNA from 1 species
GACGAAGGAUCCAAGCGUUAUCCGGAAUGAUUGGGCGUAAAGCGUCCGCAGGUGGCAGUUCAAGUCUGCUGUCAAAGACCGGGGCUUAACUUCGGAAAGGCAGUGGAAACUGAACAGCUAGAGUAUGGUAGGGGCAGAGGGAAUUCCUGGUGUAGCGGUGAAAUGCGUAGAGAUCAGGAAGAACAUCGGUGGCGAAGGCGCUCUGCUGGACCAUAACUGACACUCAGGGACGAAAGCUAGGGGAGCGAAUGGG